rnacentral:rRNA from 1 species
CAAUAGCGUAUAUUUAAGUUGUUGCAGUUAAAAAGCUCGUAGUUGGAUUUCGGGUUGGCUUCAGCGGUCUCGCUUUGCGUUUGUACUGCCGCAGCCUUCCUUCUUGCUGGGGACGGUCCUCCGGGCUUCAUUGCUUGGGGUCUGGAAUCCGCGACGUUACUUUGAGUAAAUUAGAGUGUUCAAAGCAAGCCUACGCUCUGAAUAUAAUAGCAUGGGAUAACACGACAGGACUCUGGCCUAUCGUGUUGGUCUGUAGGACCAGAGUAAUGAUUAAGAGGGACAGUCGGGGGCAUUCGUAUUCCGUUGUCAGAGGUGAAAUUCUUGGAUUUACGGAAGACGAACAUCUGCGAAAGCAUUUGCCAAGGAUGUUUUCAUUGA